rnacentral:misc_RNA from 1 species
ACUUAUGUAUUUCUAGUGAUAUUACAAAAGCUUCAUUGCUUCAGUGGAAAUGUUGUGGUUUUUGUUAUCAGAAAUAACAAAUGUGUCAAUUAAGAAUAAUUACAUAAGGUUGAGGGGCUAAAUAUAAGGAAGUAUAGGUACUGACUUUGAUGGAACAGUAACAGGAAAUGGAUUCUUUAUGUCUUGCGGUCCUCAAAUAUUGAAAAAGGGAUCUAAAUAUUUAAUUUACGCAUACGUUUUUAAUAAUGACAUUCGAAUUCGUGAGUUCUACAACAUGACCGAUAUCACAAAGACCGAUUUAGAGUUAUUUCAGAAAUACGACUGCCAUUGUGAGAUUGUUGCUGACAAGGAUGGUAUAAUACUUCAACAUCUGAAACAUUCUGGUAAAUGUUCAUCUCCUAUUCCUGGUAGCAGCAAAUGUUCCUACAGAAGAGGUUAUUGUCGACGAAACCAGGAAGGCGUGUGUCAAUGGCAGGUCCUUAAUCCUUGUUGAAAUGUUAUACAGGACGAUUUUUUAAACCCUUUAUUUCUUGUUUUUGUUAUCAUAUUACUUUUUUCAUAAAUAAAUGAAAGAA